UACGGAGGGGGCAAGCGUUAUUCGGAAUUAUUGGGCGUAAAGGGCGCGUAGGCGGCUAGAUGUGUCAAAGGUGAAAUCCCUCGGCUCAACUGAGGAACUGCCUUUGAAACUGUCUGGCUUGAGGCCGGGAGAGGGUAGCGGAAUUCCCAGUGUAGCGGUGAAAUGCGUAGAUAUUGGGAAGAACACCGGUGGCGAAAGCGCCUUGCUGGGUCUGCACUGACAAUGAGGGACGAAAGCUAGGGGAGCGAAAGGG
rnacentral:rRNA from 1 species